rnacentral:rRNA from 1 species
UACAGAGGUGGCAAGCGUUGUUCGGAAUUACUGGGCGUAAAGGGCGCGUAGGCGGCCAUCUAAGUCGGACGUGAAAUCCCCAGGCUCAACCUGGGAACUGCGUCUGAUACUGGAUGGCUUGAAUUCGGGAGAGGGAUGCAGAAUUCCAGGUGUAGCGGUGAAAUGCGUAGAUAUCUGGAGGAAUACCGGUGGCGAAGGCGGCAUCCUGGACCGACAUUGACGCUGAGGAGCGAAAGCUAGGGGAGCAAACGGG